CCAGCUCCAAUAGCGUAUAUUUAAGUUGUUGCAGUUAAAAAGCUCGUAGUUGGAUUUCGGGUGGGGUGGUGCGGUCCGCCUUCUGGUGUGCACUGCUCUGCUCCACCUUCCUGCCGGGGACGGGCUCCUGGACUUAAUUGUCUGGGACUCGGAGUCGGCGCGGUUACUUUGAGUAAAUUAGAGUGUUCAAAGCAGGCGUUUAAAGCUCUGAAUACAUUAGCAUGGAAUAACACGAUAGGACUCUGGCCUAUCUGUUGGUCUGUGGGACCGGAGUAAUGAUUAAGAGGGGUAGUCGGGGGCAUUCGUAUUCCGUUGUCAGAGGUGAAAUUCUUGGAUUUACGGAAGACGAACAUCUGCGAAAGCAUUUGCCAAGGAUACUUUCA
rnacentral:rRNA from 1 species